UAUUUUGCUGUUACGACUCCUGUAGCAAGAAGAGGCAUCCACAGGUGGAUCUCUGGUGUAACAGGAGCCAUUUUACAAGGCAACUUUUUUUGUUUUGCUCCAGUAGCCUUCCUUACCUUCCUGAUCAUGUCAACAAAGCUCCCAAGGGUGAGCCAGGUCAUCUUUAAGAAUGGCUUUGCUGUAGGUAGCAGCCAGGUGAGCUGAUUUUCUCCAGGUUUUGGGGGGUGAGGCAGCUCACCUGACUAGGGCCACACCAAAUGGCCACCUGGCAGUUGCCUUGAUGACAAGAUCUGCCGUGACCUGUUCUUUAGUAGCUGGGUGGGAGUUGAUGAGAGGAAAGCUACAGAAGAGUUCAACUGACCAGCAUACAGUGAUGUGAAAACUAUGCGCGAUACAGAAACCAACAAGAAACUGUUGGGAAGAGUUUGAAUUCCAUCGGGAUGCUUAGAGGAACAAAAUGAAGCUGGUGCGUAAGCACUGUAAGCCUACAACCUGCCUGAAUGGAAAAGCACUAGGUCGGAGAAGGCACCUGUGGCUGUACCAGUGUAUUACAAGGAAGGAGCACGGCUCGCCAAGUCCCCACCAAUUUGGGUUGAGUGCACGCUGAUGAGUUCCAGUGCUGUUAAGUCUCCAAACUUCUGGCAUCUCUGUGAGUGACUUAACCAUAAUCUCUUGUCUGUUCUAGUUCUUGGUAAUUCAGUAAUAACGAGGUACUCGGUAGCUAGAAGAUGCUUUUUAUCAAAAAUGAAACAUUAACUGUAAAAAAUACUUGAUGCUGUUGUAUCCAUUUUUGUAAGAAAAAUGGACUAGUCGGACUUAGACUAAAACAUCUGGAAAAAAUGAGAAAAUACUGAGGAAUAGCGUACGGGUUGGUGGGUGAGCUCAGCCCAUGGCGAAGUGUGCCUUAGUAUCCUGGCCUUUUGCUUAGCUAGAGCUCGAGGUUCCAGCGCCCGGGGCCUUCCUUCAGACCCUGCCAUCAACACCUGAGGCGGUGGGAGAGGGCUGGUCUGUGACUAGACCUCACCAGUUUAGAUACACGCCGAGGCGCGAUGUUAUAGCAGGAAGGAAAGGGAAGCAGUUGUGUCUAUUACUGAGCCUUAUCCUCUGGUUGGAAGAAAGCAGGGGGGCUUUUUUAUGCUGUUUCUAUUUCCACUACAAGAUAGUCUCGAGUCAAAUGUUAUGUACUGCAAGCAGCAAUUGUGACUUUUAAUGCUCAUUUAAAAUGCUGAUUUAUUCAACAGUGAAAACACAAAUUAGCCCGACAGCAAAUAAUUAGAACAAAGCUGUGGCAAUGAACAUUACAUUGGAAUAUGGCUAAUAACAGAAAUGUGUGGCACAUGCCGGUAUCGGCAGCGUCGCUGGGUACGAGUGUUUCAGUGCUGGAAAUACAAGGGAUGAAAUACAGGAAGUUUGUCUUAACUGCAGUGCGAGAUGCUCCCAAUAAAUGCAGGUAACGUCUCGAAGCAUGUCAUAGCAGAACAUAAUUUAACAUGGUUCUCUUUUCUGCGGUACUCAGUAUCUCAGUUUAAAUUUCCUGAAUAGCUGCUUCCUCAUCCCAUUUCCCUGAAGUAACUGGUAUUUGCAUAACUGACCAAACUUGACGUUUGGGGUUUGGAGGAGUGGCGUGUUUCUAUAGUGCAGGACCUGCUCUAUGCUUUUGAAGAAAUAAAAAUUGCUACAGGUGAGAUUUUGUAGUUCUCAUGUAGUGGCACGUUGGUACAUUAAUAAAUAGAAGUGUUUGGUCUCCAAAAUUCUAGAGUAGAAACAAAGGCUACCUGAGAAAUGCACAUGGAACCGAAAAACCAAGUGAAUUAUUUAACAUAGCUUGUGUGGAGAUGAAGGCAUGGUGGAAGAUACAGAGGUAAAAAUUUUUUCAUGGUUUAAAAAAAAAAAAAAACACCACGUAUCGGAGUUUCUCUUUCUCUGGAAAAGUUCUCCAGAGUUCUUCUCCAACUCUCAGUUUUGUUCCUGAAGUUUUGCUCUCCUGAACAAAAACACUUGAGUUAACUCUUGGAGUUAACUUCUAGGUCCUUCAAACAAAAUCCUUGUAGUGGUUUGUUGGGUUGGGUUUGGUUGGUUUUUGUGUUGGUUUGUUGGGGUUUUUUUAAAGCUUAAAACAGAGGGUUUUUUUAAAGUCAGGAUUUUAAGAACAACUGAAAUAAAGCAGUAAUGAAUCUCUACCACCUGCUGCAGAGUAUGGCAGCCUUCCUGUGUAAUAUCCUCUUACAUUCCAUAAUCAAAAUCCUGGUCCAUCACAAAAGAGAGCAAUGUAGUGCUCUAGCUAAAGAAACUCAGCAAAACUACUCUCUGCCUCCCUCCAACCCAAUAUGCUUUUGGUAUGUGCUAUAUAUCAAGGAAGUGAGGUCUAUGUGCUGUGGCACGGACCAAAAGAAUUUGAAAAAAGGGAUGCCACCACCUUCCAGGUCAGCUGUAGGACAAAGCGAGACGACAGCUAGAGAAGCCCCUCCGCAGGAAGCCUUUCCCCUCACCUCACGCCAACGCCACUGGUCUGGGCCACACACCCUCGCUGUGACUUUGGUUAGGAAUAACAGCUUGACGAAGGUCGGGGGGUGAGGGGGCGUUAAAGGCUGUAACGGACACAACUUCAUAAUAUGCGUCAAACUCGGACUUCCCCAUUGCACAGUUUCCUGUUACAAUAGAUGUAAGAUUUCAAGUGGACUUGCAUGUAAGCACGUUUUCUGUGGUAUCGGACUAAUCUUGAGAGUUAAAAACAAACAGUCUUUGUAUGGAUCUCGCCAUCGGAUUUAAAUCUUAUCCCUUUCUUAUGGUGUUUGAUCUAAGGUACAUAUCUUGAAUGAUGACUUAAAAACUAGAAAACGUAUGUAAGCCAGCUAGGCUUUGUUCCAGCUGUUGUGUUUUCCAGUUCAGCUUCCCUACACACCUAUGUUCUGCUGCCUGCCAUUUCAACAGUCUCUGCUAUAGCAUUAUUCCCUAAUAAUGCCUUUCCUAGGCACAAACACAAGCCCAGUAUGAGAACCAGAGACCUCUAAAAGAAAAAAAACAAAACAAAAACCAAAAAACCCCACACCCAAACCAAACGUAACUACACACAAAAAAAAAGAAGAUAGGAUAAAGCUUUCUCUCACAGCAGAGUGCACAGGCAUAAGAGCAUGAGGCUAACUGGAAAUAGUUAUGUUUUCUAGCAGGCCAUAACACACUCAUGUUGACAAUAUUUUGGAAUAACUCGUUCUUUAUUUGUUACCAUUGUAAACAUCUCUUUCUAUUACACAGACAUCACAGUUUACAUUAUUGCUUUUAUAUUGUGUAAAACAGAAAUUUCUAUUAGUAUGAGGCUAUCUAAGCACAGUGUGAUAAGAAGAAACUGUCCACACGCUGCCUUGGGCUGUCUUUUUUUUUUUUUUUUUUUUUUUUUUUUUUUUUUUUUUUUCUCUCUUCGCUAGAGAAAGACAAUAUACAGACUGGCACAAGAAACAUCAGUCCAAAGAUUGAUCACCAUUGUACUACAGCAACACAAAACAAGUAUGACAGAAAGAAACAACAGGUUACAUCUUUACCACGCAUUCACUAGCAGUAUUUUCAAGAAUACUGACUGCUGAACUCCCAUCUAACUAAAUACAAACUUUUUCAUCACGGUAACUCUUAAAACAAGGCUAACAGUUAUUUUUUUGUAAAAUGUUUGUUACUUAAACUAGGAUGGAAAAUCUGGAAAAUGAAUGCUUGGGGCUUUGUGUGUGUGUUUAAUUUUUUGUUUGCAUUUUGUUUUGUUUUUCAAAGAGUGAAAAUCCGAAACUAUUUAUCUGAGGUGCUUAAAUUGGCACCUUUUCCUACUGUCCUUUAGGACAAAACACCCUAUUCUUUACACUGCUGUAUCAGAUGACAGCAGCACAAUCUGUUUAAAAACAUUCUCAGUUUCCUUCUUCCUAAGUAGCACUGUCUUCAACUCGCUUUCCAAUCAAGUUGGUUACUUACGGAGCACUGUGUUUACUUACUGAAGGACUAGAUUUUACUUCUGCCUGUGGUAAACUUCUACUUAUCUUCAGAUUAAUUUGUUCAUGGAGUGGCACCGUGUUUCAAGCAUACACUAAACAACAAAAGUGGAGGUAGCUUGUUAAACAGUUGCUACAGGAACAACAACAACAAAAUUUAGAGAACCACCUUGUUGUCUUCAGUUUUAGAUUUUUUUUUUCUAAAAUUACUAUUGCAUAUAAGCUUUCACAUAGUGAAUGCUUUAAAGAGGCAGCAAGUUAGAAAACUAACAGUACUUGCAAAUUCUAAUAAGAUAAUACAUACUUUAAAACAUGACAGUUAAUAAAUAACAAGAGAAUUUACUAAGGUUUUAGGACUCUUAGAAUAAACCAUGAGCAACAAAUUCUGAUGUUAAACAAAUUGAUUAUAUCAACUUGCAGAAAGGUGGCCUACCUCCAUUUUGAAUCUUCCAUAACCUUAGGAUUGUCACCCUACAACAGAGUUAGUAUUAAAAUACCGCUGACUAGUAAAACAUUGCUCUUCCCUUCCCUAAAAACAAUUUUACUGUUUUUCCAUAUAUUUUCUAGCUACCACCAUAAUACAAUUAGCCUACCACUGGUGCAAAAGAGGGACACCCAGUACUAGUCUACAUAUAGUGAGUGACUCUGGCCUACUUGAUCGUACAAAACUACAUGCAAAUUCUAACCGUUUAUUGGGAAGGUGUAUUGAAGCCUAACAUAAACAUUCACUUUAAUUACUACAGGCAAACUAAUGCAUUCCUGUGUAUCUCACUCAUCUGAUGAAGGUUGGGGUUACUUUUUUUCUUUGUAUACUGCCACAGUUUACUCCCGGCUCACAGUUUGAUUUUUAAAAAAGAGAAAAAAACCAAAAAGCUAAUGAAGAUGCAUCUCACAUUGGGCUCAAUCUACAUUCUACAAUAAAAUGUCUUCGGUGUGUGAUAGGAAAUCUGAAACUUGAUGGUUGGGCUUUAAAAGCUUCAGCAGUAGUUAAAUGUCAGCCUGCUAGUGAACAAUGAGCCAAGUUAAAGUUUCAAGGCUGGAAAGAGGAGGGCGUAGAUUAUUUUUGCACCUGUUGUCAAAAAAAAAAAAAAGGUUGCAAACUCUAGCACACGGGAGUGUUUCAGAGAGAUGGCUCAAGCAAUUUUGUUACUUGCUUGCAAGCAGUAGGUGAAAAUUAAGAAUGGGAUUGCCUUUCCUGAUGCUGCUGCUAAACGUAUUGGGGUCACUUCUGAAAUUCAACAUGUCUCACAUUGCUUGCAAAAGAGAUCUACAAGCAAUAGCAAAAUGAAUGAAGGAAGACAAACAUGACAGAAGCUGGGGCUAGAGAGUAACAGACAACUAACCUCUCCGCCACUGGGAAAGAGUCCACUUUCAGAGCUCUACAGCAGGACCUGAAUCCCAGAACACUCUCCACAGGAUCUCAGCUUUUUCAGUGGCGAGAAUUACAGGACUGAAGUACCUGGGAGUAGGAGAAGAACGAGGCUUCCUGUGGUCAGUUUUAUAUCUAAUCUAGUCAGUUUAGCUGUUCAGCUUACAAACCAUGGCAUAACCAUAAAUACUCUCCCUACAAGCAUAUUCAAGUCACUUUUUUUUUUUUU